CCGGCGCACGGUGAGUAACACGUAUCCAACCUGCCGUCUACUCUUGGACAGCCUUCUGAAAGGAAGAUUAAUACAAGAUGGCAUCAUGAGUCCGCAUGUUCACAUGAUUAAAGGUAUUCCGGUAGACGAUGGGGAUGCGUUCCAUUAGAUAGUAGGCGGGGUAACGGCCCACCUAGUCUUCGAUGGAUAGGGGUUCUGAGAGGAAGGUCCCCCACAUUGGAACUGAGACACGGUCCAAACUCCUACGGGAGGCAGCAUG
rnacentral:rRNA from 1 species